AACUCAAGCAGUUCUGUGACUUGCAUCUCUGAGUAACAGGAUCACAGGAGAACUCCUGGAAGAUACUCUGGCAAGGACCCCUGAACAGCAGGACCAAGCUGUUCUGCUCUGUAUGGGAGGAAUAACUUGAUAGCUGGUUCAGAUUCAGCAAGACAAUUCAAGUAAUGCCCCCCAAACUGCCUUGUAAUAGCUCUUCAUUACCUGAAAAAAAAAGCUAGCAAUCUUAUGCAUUAACUCCUGGUACAUGUUAAUCAGGCUGUUCGCUGAAGGUGCCGGAGAGAGCUGAGGAAGACUGGCAGAGACACUUGUGCUACCGUUACUCUUGCUGCCUCCCAUGUGUCUGGAAAUGGUCCAAAUACAUGCAAGAAACAUCUGACCUCAAGAUAUCAAUGAGCACUUCAAAGUGCCGAUCUGUUCAUUCAUUUUGACUGUCAUCAUGGCCAAGGCAUUGAGAAGAUGACAAACCUGAUCAAGACCAUGCUGUGUAUGUUCUCUGAGGUAAGGCAAAUGAGAGAGCUGUAUAAUCAUGCUGACAACACUGAUAAACCCUGCUUCUCCCCUGUUAACAGUAUUGUGACUGAAUAAUGGAAUUCAUAUCAAAUUCAUGCUCCCUUUAGACAUUUGGAAUUGGAAUGAAGAUGCUACUUAGCACUUAAAUGCAGCCAGUUUCUGUUUUUGUUUUUUUUUCCAAACAGUUAAUUCAAAUAAAAUGGGGUCAAUUGAUGUUUAAAUAAAUAAAAUACUAUUCUAUGUGUGUUAGAAAUGUUUUUCUGCUCGAAGUAGAAAAGCCCAGGUAAACUCCACAUAGUUUUAUAAGACUUUUAAUGCCAGACAUAGUAAGUCAGACCAAGAAAAUACAGAUUAGAAAAAGGUGAGCAUCUUGGUGAUGGUUGAAGAUGCAGACAGAAAUCAAACUGUUCUUGCCUUGGCUCUAAGCCAUCAGUUUCUCAGCAGCUCCACGAAAUGUUUGAAGAGAUUACAAAGUGAAAACUCAAGUGUUUAGGGGAUCUAGGGUCAUAACCUCAACUUCACAUCUUCCACCGGCUGCUCUUAGUGUGAUUUAGCAUCUUAUGGAUAGUGUUUCUGAGCUUUCCCCAGUGCAUUGGGUGAGAGAAGGCAACUUCUUAUUCAAGCGUUGUUAAGUUUGCUGCUACUAGGAAAAUAAUUAAGUAGGUGAUAUGAGUGUUACUCAAGGCCAGAACCCUUGACAGAGUAAAUCAUCUCCCUGUAUUUCCAUGACUAAUACCAUUGAUUAUCACCAGCUGAAAAGUGGGCCCCAAAGAGUAUAAAACAAUAGUGGGUUAGAAUGAGCAAUCUAUUUUCAUAUAUCCAGAAUGAUUAUGCCUCUCCAGAGAUAGAGCCAGGCUGAGUUACACUCAAUUAUCACAAGUUCUUUUUCUUUGGAAAGGGAAAAAAUAAAUGGUUGCGUUCAUACAUCUUUGUACUUAUUUGUAUCAAUAGUAGUUUUAGCCUUAAAACAACAGAUACUCUGGAAAUUGAAAUGCUGUCCACUUUAAUUUACAAUGCAAACUUCUGUACUUACUAUAUUCUUAUUUUCAUUUAAUUACUAUCGCAUGCUUGAUCUUUGUUUUUUAUU
rnacentral:lncRNA from 7 species